AUUGAACGCUGGCGGCAUGCUUUACACAUGCAAGUCGAACGGCAGCGCGGGCUUCGGCCUGGCGGCGAGUGGCGAACGGGUGAGUAAUGCAUCGGAACGUGCCCAGUAGUGGGGGAUAGCCCGGCGAAAGCCGGAUUAAUACCACAUACGACCUGAGGGUGAAAGCGGGGGACCGAAAGGCCUCGCGCUAUUGGAGCGGCCGAUGUCGGAUUAGCUAGUUGGUGGGGUAAAGGCUUACCAAGGCGACGAUCCGUAGCUGGUCUGAGAGGACGACCAGCCACACUGGGACUGAGACACGGCCCAGACUCCUACGGGAGGCAGCAGUGGGGAAUUUUGGACAAUGGGGGCAACCCUGAUCCAGCCAUGCCGCGUGCGGGAAGAAGGCCUUCGGGUUGUAAACCGCUUUUGUUCGGGAAGAAAUCCUCUGGGCUAAUACCCCGGGGGGAUGACGGUACCGGAAGAAUAAGCACCGGCUAACUACGUG
rnacentral:rRNA from 1 species